CCCGCUGAACUUAAGCAUAUCAAUAAGCGGAGGAAAAGAAACUAACAAGGAUUCCCCUAGUAACUGCGAGUGAAGCGGGAAAAGCUCAAAUUUAAAAUCUGGUGGCCUUUUGGGCCAUCCGAGUUGUAAUUUAGAGAAGCGUCUUCUGCGCUGGACCGUGCACAAGUCUCCUGGAAUGGAGCGUCAUAGAGGGUGAGAAUCCCGUCUUUGGCACGGACUCCCGGUGCUUCUGUGAUGCGCUCUCGACGAGUCGAGUUGUUUGGGAAUGCAGCUCAAAAUGGGUGGUGAACUCCAUCUAAAGCUAAAUACUGGCGAGAGACCGAUAGCGAACAAGUACCGUGAGGGAAAGAUGAAAAGCACUUUGGAAAGAGAGUGAAACAGUACGUGAAAUUGUUGAAAGGGAAACGCUUGAAGUCAGUCGCGUCGACCGAGACUCAGCCUUGCCCUUGGCUUGGUGUACUUCUCGGCCUGACGGGUCAGCAUCAAUUUCGAUCCUCGGAUAAUGGCAGGGGAAAGGUGGCACCUUUUUAGGUGUGUUAUAGUCCUCUGUCGCAUGUGAGGGUCGGGAUUGAGGAACUCAGCACGCAUCUUUGGGUGUCGGGGCCUCUGGCCCACGUUACGUGCUUAGGAUGCUGGCGUAAUGGCUUUAAACGACCCGUCUUGAAACACGG
rnacentral:rRNA from 1 species